UAUUUGGAGAGUUUGAUCCUGGCUCAGGACGAACGCUGGCGGCGUGCCUAAUACAUGCAAGUCGAGCGA
rnacentral:rRNA from 1 species